rnacentral:snoRNA from 2 species
CCCCUCUCAGGGUUGCAUCUGGAGGGUUUCCAGUAGUUUACCAGUCUCAACUACGGGAGGGAGAGUCAAGCCGAGGCAUACCCAUUCCAUUCCUAGCUUGGGCAGUGGCUAGCAAGUGGAAGACAAUCCGCUACAAGU